GGGGUAAACCUGCGAAACUCGAAUGAACGAACGGAGAGAUUCAUCGUCAUUCCGCGGCGUACGGGUGCGUGUUGCGAUGCCUACGGCCUCGGUCGGCGGGCACGCCGCGCGCUCGUCGACGUCCGUGGACGGCGUGCACUUCUCUCUCAGUAAACAUACAUCGCGACCCGUUCGAUGUCGGUCUAAGCGCCGUUCGGGAGCCCCGCUGUCGCCCUUCACGGGGUGCGACGGGACCGCGACGGUGGCCGACCGGCCGUCGGACGGUAUAAUAUAUGAAGCGCGCACGCGUUUACAACGCGUCCGGCCCGACGCAAGUCAACGUCGUAUCCGACGUACACCGCCCGAGCGCGGACGUUGGUGCGGCGCGUCUGCCGUCGCUGCCGUGCAGUCUCGGACUGUGCGCGUCUCCGUCUGCGAUGAUUCAGUUUCGGGCACUCGCAGGACCCGUCUUGAAACACGGACCAAGGAGUCUAGCAUGUAUGCGAGUCAUUGAGAUUUACAUUUAAACUGAAAGGCGCAACGAAAGUGAAGGCGCGCGCUCGUCGCGCGCUCAGGGAGGAUGGAGCGUCGGUCUAGAUCGAUCUCUCGCACUCCCGAGGCGUCUCGUUUCCAAUCCGUGAAUGCAGGCGCGCUC
rnacentral:rRNA from 1 species